CUAGGGCUUGCAGAAGCUUCCAGGCCUGCGCUGCCAUGGGGGACGCUAUCUUAAACAGGAAACCUAGCACUCUAACAGCCUUUUAACUACUGCCCCUUUCCCUUUUUUCCUGCCUUGUGUGAAGAUGUGAUGCGUGGAACCGUGGCAGCCAUCUUGCAACCAUGAAGUGAUGAGAAUGAGAACUAAAAGCCAAGCAGCUAAGGAUGGCAGAAGAAAGCCGGACAGGAGCUGGGUCUCUGUGAGCCCCGUUGAGCAUUCUGGAAGUUCUAAAAUGAAGCACUGGCAGAGCUACAAUCCUUCUGGAGGCUGCAGGAGGGAUCUAGCGCUUUGCCUUUUCCAGUUUAUAGAGGCUGCCCAUGUUCCUUGGCUCAUGGCCCCACAUGAUCUGACCUUCACAUUCAUCUUUAUGUCUCCUCUGUCUCUGACUUUCUUCUGUCUUUUUGUUUUUUGAACAGAGACAGGGUCUCACCCUGUCAUCCAGGCUGGAGUACAGUGGUGUGAUUAUAACCUACUGCAGCCUGGAACUGCUGGGCUCCAGCGAUCCUCUUGCCUUGGCCUCCCAAAGCUCUGGGACUAUAGGUGCACAUCACCACGCCUGGCCUCCUGCCUCUUUUUUGUCAGGAUCCUUGUGAUUAUAUUAAGCCCACCCAGAUAAUCCAGGAUCAUCUGCCCAUUUCAAGAUUUUUUUUUUUUUUUUGAGACGGAGUUUCCCUCUUGUUACCCAGGCUGGAGUACAAUGGCGUGAUUUUGGCUCACUGUAACCUCCACUUCCUGGGUUCAAGUGAUUCUCCUGCCUCAGCUUUCUGAGUAGCUGGGAUUACAGGUGUGUAAUUAGCCUGUAGGCACAAAAUUACCCACCAUGCCUGGCUAAUUUUAUAUUUUUAGAAGAGAUGGAGUUUCUCCACAUUGGUCAGGUUGGUCUCAAGCUCCCAACCUCAGGUGAUCUGCCUGCCUCAGCCUUCCAAAGUGCUGGGAUUACAAGCAUGAGCCAACACGCCCAGCCUCAAGAUUCUUAAUCAAGUUUGCAAAAUCCCAGGGAUUAGGACAUGGACAUCUUGGGCAGGGACAGGGAAGGGAUUGUUCUUUUGACCACAGCACAUCUUCCUUCUUCCCCACUCCAACCUUGAAGACCUAGUGGGCGCUGUCCCUCAGAGCCCCCCAUGAGAGUGUUCACAUGGCCCACACUGGCCAAUGUGGCCCUUGGAGGGGUUUCCCUGGAGUGGCAAAGCAGUGCGAUUUGAGUCAGGGACUGGCAGAGGUCCAGCCUCCUGUAAGGUUGAAGUUUUCAUCUGCAUUUGUGGAGAUGGAAACUGAGGUGUAGCAAGAAGGAAAUAGUUCUGGUGGCAUUUUUAUCAUCGGUUCCAAUUGUUCCCAAAGCCAGCAGUUUAGGGGUCAGUAUAUCCUCCAGUUGUUUUGGUUCAGUUGGGUUUCUGUCCCUGCAGAUCAAAAUCAUCUUGACAUAUACAGCAGCUAUUUUGAAUGAAGCCUAGACAGUACGGGAGUGCGGAGACAGCAGAAGCAGAGAUGAGUUAUCUUGAACCUAAUGAAGCUUGAGCUUCAGGGCUACUACCUUAUGUGAGUCCCUCUAAGGCCCUAGAUGGGAGUCGUGUUCAUACACUUUGCAGAAUUUUUAGAAGAUAUAUUAGUUGCAAUUAUUAGGACCACAACUAGCCAGGUACAGUGGUGUGUACCUGUGGUCCCAGCUACUCAGGAGGCUGAGGUGGGAGGAAUGCUUGAGCCCAGGAGUUUGAGAACAGCCUGGGCAACAUAGUGAUACCCCAUUCCCCAAAUAUAAAAUACAAUAAAAUAAAACAAAAUAUUAAGACCACAUCAGCCUCCUUCCAUUUCAAUAGAGGGGACUCUAUUAAAUCUUCCCCAUACCUAGCCCUGAAGUGAACAUGUGCAUUUAAAAAAACAGCUAUGAAGAAAUCAAGUCGAGGACAUGUUUAAUUUGUGUUAAAUAGGAUAUAUUUAUAGUCAUUUUGUUAAGUUUGCUAGUUGGUGGGGUAUAGAUAUGGUUUUUAGAAAAGCUCUUUCUCGGCUGGACGCAGUGGCUCACGCCUGUAAUCCCAGUGCUUUGGGAGGCCAAGACAGGUGGAUUACCUGAGGUCAGGAGUUCGAGACCAGCCUGGCCAACAUGGUGAAACCCCAUCUCUACUAAAAAUACAAAAAAUGAGCCGGGUGUGGUGACAGGCACCUGUAAUCCCAGGUACUCGGGAGGCUGAGGCAGGAGAAUUGCUUGAACCCAGGAGGUGGAGGUUGUAGUGAAAUGAGAUUGUGCCACUGCACUCCAGCCUGGGCGACGGAGUGAAACUCCGUCUCAAAAAAAGAGAGAAAAGCUCUGCUCUUUCUGCACUGACCCAUCCAGCCUCAUAACAAGAAGGUGCAGGGCAAGAGGUCAUAUUGGAGUAUGAAUGUGCCCCACAGUGCUGGCCACCAGAAACACAUGGGGAAUGGAUGAGAAACAAGUUGGAAAUGAACGGGGCCAAAGGCCAGUCUGUUGAAAAAUUCUUACAAUCAUCAAACUUGUAAAAUGGACAGUUGGAUUCUUUAUUUCUGGUCAGAAUUGAAAUUCUUUCCUGUCUGGAAUAUACUAGAUAAAGCUAUCUAGACACAUUAUACAUUUUUUUUUCAUUUUUUGAUGGAAAUUGUACAAAUUUAAAUUUAUUAGGAUUUCUGUGGAACCUGAUAAUAAACCCACAGAAUUAAAGCAAAUAGUGAGUAUGUUUUUGUGUAAAAUUGCGUGAUUCCUAUAUCCUAAUGUAUUGGACUAUGUCUUAGCAAGACAUUACCAAUAACAGAUUGUGAAGCUAAAAUAAACUUUUCUAAACUAUCAACCAUGCUAGAAAACAGCCUGAAAUCUCUUUCUAUUCCCUUUAUGGAUAAUGGUAUUUCAAACUUCUUGUCACAUGAAGAGACAGUCAAAGAGCAUGCAUCCAAAAAGGAAUGAAAAAAGUCUGUAGAAGUGUGUCAGAUAAUUCAUUAACACAAACUCAUAUUAUUUUUCUAUAUUUUGUAUUUUUCUGGUAUUUGCGGGCUUUUAAGCUUUGUGAUUUGUUUUAAUUUUUUUUUUUUUUUUGAGACAGAGUCUUGCUCUGUCGCCCAGGCUGGAGUGCAGUGGUGCAAUCUCGGCUCACUGCAAGCUCCGCCUCCCGGGUUCACGCCAUUCUCCUGCUUCAGCCUCCCGAGUAGUUGGGACUACAGGUGCCCCCCACCAUGCUCGGUUAAUUUUUUUGUAUUUUUAGUAGAGAUGGGGUUUCACUGUGUUAGCCAGGAUGGUCUCGAUCUCCUGACCUCGUGAUCCACCCGCCUCGGUCUCCCAAAGUGCUGGGAUUACAGGCAUGAGCCACCACGCCCGGCCUGUUAUAAUGUAUUUUCUAAUUCUAUUCAUUUUGAUAUUUAAUUUUGUAUUCAUAAUUUUUUUUUAAGAGUUGAGGUCUCACUGUGUCACACAGGCUACAUGUAGUGGUACAAUUAUAGCUCACUGCAGCCUCAAGCUCCUGGGCUCAAAUGACCCUCCCACCUCAGCCUCCCAAGUAGCUAGGACAUGCUCCCACCUCAGCCUCCCAAGUAGCUAGGUGUGCACCACCAUGCCUGCUUUAUGUAUUUAUUUAUUUUGUAGAGAUGGUCUUGCUAUGUUGCCCAGGCUGUUUUCCAACUCCUGAUUCAAGGGAUCCUCCCACCUAGGCCUCCCGAAGUGCUGAGAUUACAAGCAUGCGCCACUGGGCCUGGCCUGCAAUUUUGCAUUCAUUGUCUUUAAAAGAGCACCCCAUUAUUCAGGCCCCACUAACUGGAAUAGCUCCCAUACGCAGGCUACAGUGAAGAGAUGUAGGUGGCCAGCCUCCCUAGAACAGGGGCUGAGAGCCGAGGAAUCAUGGCAAGCAGGUAGAGAGGGAGACAGGUGGGGACACUGAGGAUGGAGGAUGUGAAAAGCUGAGUGUGGGAGGACAGGCUCGUUGAGGUUGAUACUGCAUGAUGGGUUCCUGUCAUGGAGAGUGACAGGAGAGAGGGGCUCCUUUUCUCUGGGAACAGAUGUUUCCAGCUGCUUCAACCUUCUGCACCUGUAAUGAGUGGAGAGAUGAUUAAAGACUAAAACAGGUGGUAUGUUCCAGAAUCCUGAAAAAGAGUCAAAAACAUGUCACUCUCUGUAACUGAGAUUUUUAAGAGCCAGCAUCAAAUGGAUGAGGGUAAUCACAGGUUGGGUGCCUCCCAGAUCUCACAAGAGUCCUCAAGGAAUAAGGUAGCCCCUCAAUUCAUCAAGAGUUGAGAGUGUAUACUCAAACCCCAUCCAGGAAGCACCAAUUUAAAUGUAACUAAUAAAAAAAUGCACUUUCCAAUAAUACAGCUAAAAGGAUAAUGACAUAUGAUAAAGUAUUUAAAAAGCAAAUUUAAAAGUGGCAGUUCCACAUGCAUACAUACAUACACAGAUGAAUACAUUAGACUAAAAAAACUAUGAGGCAGAAAACAUCUAAUGAUUUUUAUGCAAGGACAAAUGACACAUAGGGAAAACAUGUGUAACUCAUAGCCAAAAAAUAAUUUUCCUAAUGUAUCAGCACUCCUAUAAAUUGAUUUUUUAAACCCAAAAUCUAAUAGAAAAUUAGGUAGUUCAUAAGAAAGGAAAUAGAAAUGCCUCCUAGAUAUAGG
rnacentral:lncRNA from 1 species